UCCAAUUAUUUACCUAGAUCUGGGCUGCCAAAAAUCCCAAGUUGGGUUGUUUGUAACCCAGCAUUUUUUAAAGUACAGAAGCAGCAAGCGCAGCCAAUGGGAAUCCGUGGAAAGAAAACUGCCAUCUGUAAGCUUUUCCAGAUCAAUAAAUGACUUAUAUUCGUGCUUGAAAAGUUACAUCAAAAAUAGCUUUACCUCUUGCAAUCUUGUUUAAGUUUCUUGGCACGACCAAAUCAAUAGAUAAAUAGCGUGCCUAUUGUAGUCAGUGGAGCGCAAGGAAACUUUGUUACACAUGACAGACAGUGAUGUUGCUUCGUGUUUCAGCCCUGGUUGCGCAUUCAUUUGGUGGGAAAUGAAACUUCCAUGGUGGAACGUCGCUCGCUUUGAGUGAGAUGAAUGCUGCAUUUGUAGAAGGCUAGGGUUUCAAGCUGCGACAUACAUUUAAACAAAAAAAAAAAAGUGAGACUACAGACAUUUUUUCUAUUUAUACAAUAAUAAUUUAACAGGAAUACAAUGUAAUACAACCGUAAUUUAAUUCAGGAAGUUUUCUGUCAGUCAAGUUUUCUCCCAGAACAGAACACAAAAUGACUGUUGAAUAUAUCCAAUAUUACCCCAACUACCCAAGAUUAGGUUAUAAUGACCCAGAGCUGGGUAGGUAUGUUAGCGGGUUCAUCAUUUGUUUUGACAGUGAAAACAACCCAGCAGAGAGUUACAGAAAAACCACCCAUCACCUGGAUAAGAAAUAUUGAAAAUAACCCAAUAAAAUGACCUGGACCCAGCAUUUGGGUUAAAAAAAAAUAAAAUAACAGAGCAUUUUUUAGAGUUUGUUUUUCAGUUUCAGGCCCAAGGCUGCAAGACAAGUGCUACAGACCUAUGGGUGUGGUGCCUUUGGAGAUACAGUAGUGUACAGUAGCUGCCAGCUGUCUGUUCUGUGAUGUAACAAGCCCACAGAAUGCCACUUGUGCGCUAUGGCCAUUGUCCCUCUCCAUCCAUCUCCAGAGGAAGUCCAUUCAUUACCUCAGAUGAUUUGAUGUCUUCCACAAUAAAACCAGCAUCUGGAUUUACACAGAGGAGUCUGUUGGAAGCAAAG